rnacentral:rRNA from 1 species
UUAAAAUUUAAUUGUAAAUAUCAAAGUAGUAUUAGUUAAGUUCUUGAAAUUUAAAAAAUUUGGCGGUAUUUUAGUCUAUUCAGAGGAACCUGUUUUGUAAUCGAUAGUCCACGUUGUAACUUACUUAAAUUUGUUUAAAUAAUUUAUAUAUCGUUGUUAUAAAAUAUUUUAUAAAAAUAAUAAUUUUUAAGAUCUUGAAUUUUAGAAUAUCUCAGAUCAAGAUGUAGUUUAUAUUUAAGUUUAUAAUGGGUUACAUUUAUAAUAUUAUUGGAAAUAAAUUUGUGAAUUAUUUAUUGAAAUUGGAUUUGAUAGUAAAUUUAUAUAGAUAGAUAAUUUGAUUAUAGCUCUAAAAUAUG